AUGACCACAUCACAUUGAAACACCAGCUUCCUGUAUGAACAACCAAGUUAAGCAAUGUCAAGCUUGAUCAGUACCUAGAUGGGUGAUCACUUAGGAAUACCAGGUGCUGUAAG